rnacentral:rRNA from 1 species
CAGCCGCCGCGGUAAUACGUAGGGUGCGAGCGUUAAUCGGAAUUACUGGGCGUAAAGCGUGCGCAGGCGGUUGUGUAAGACAGGUGUGAAAUCCCCGGGCUUAACCUGGGAACUGCGCUUGUGACUGCACAGCUAGAGUAUGGCAGAGGGGGGUGGAAUUCCACGUGUAGCAGUGAAAUGCGUAGAGAUGUGGAGGGACACCGAUGGCGAAGGCAGCCCCCUGGGCCAAUACUGACGCUCAUGCACGAAAGCGUGGGGAGCAAACAGGAUUAGAUACCCCGGUAGUCCCUGUCUCUUAUAA